GACGUAGGGCGCGAGCGUUGUCCGGAUUUAUUGGGCGUAAAGAGCUCGUAGGCGGCUUGUCGCGUCGACUGUGAAAACCCGUGGCUCAACCAUGUGGUCUGCAGUCGAUACGGGCAGGCUAGAAUUCGGUAGGGGAGACUGGAAUUCCUGGUGUAGCGGUGAAAUGCGCAGAUAUCAGGAGGAACACCGGUGGCGAAGGCGGGUCUCUGGGCCGAUAUUGACGCUGAGGCGCGAAAGCUAGGGGAGCAAACAGG
rnacentral:rRNA from 1 species